UACGUAGGGGGCAAGCGUUGUCCGGAAUCAUUGGGCGUAAAGCGCGCGUAGGCGGCCCGGUAAGUCCGCUCCGAAAAGUCCAGGGCUCAACCCUGGAAAGCGGGUGGAUACUGCCGGGCUAGAAUCCGGAAGAGGCGAGUGGAAUUCCUGGUGUAGCGGUGGAAUGCGCAGAUAUCAGGAGGAACACCGGUGGCGAAGGCGGGUCUCUGGGCCGAUACUGACGCUGAGGAGCGAAAGCGUGGGGAGCGAACAGG
rnacentral:rRNA from 1 species